rnacentral:lncRNA from 1 species
UUUCUUUCCUUUACCCAUUCUAUCCUAGAGAUUUUAUAUAGGUCUCUGGUUCAGAACUAAGAACUUGCAUAACCAUGGUAGUAGAGAUGAUUCCCUAAGUAGUUAAAGUAUCCUGGUUUCUGUUGCUAGGCUUAACUACUUCCUCCUACCUCUAUAGGCCUACAGUUUCAUAGAAGCAGUCCCAGGUAGUGUCAUCAACAUCAUUUUUCAACCUCCUUACCCUAGUAAGAAAGUUCCAUCUCAGUGUUUCAUUUCUAGCAAUGAGUUCAACUCCAGUCAUCUACCAUGCCUGGAACAAUUUAGUCCCUAUUAUUCCAUGGACUCCCUUGUCCAGAUUCUGGAUUUGGAACUAGUCAUCUGUGGUUUCAGCCCUGUUUACCAUCUCAACAUUAAUCCAUCUAGAAAAAGAAAAUCAACUGCAUUUCCUGAUGCAGAAUAGGGUUGGGAAUUAUUUAGAGUUGAAUGGACCAGGGUGUCAACCACAGACUUAUCACUUACUAGCUGGGAUGUUGGGGGAUAUUUAUCUAACUUGUUUGAGCCUCAGUUUUCCCAUUGGUCAAUUAUAAAUGAUAAAACCUUUGCCACAAGAUUGAUGAGAUAAAGUUUAAAACAGUGUCUGGCACCCAGUAGGUGCUCACAGCAUGUAUUAGAAUUAUUAAACAAUCAUUUUAAGAGGUAAAUAUUAUGUUCCAAGUAAAUCCAUAUUUGCAGUCAGAAUUUUUUUUCUCACUAAAUACGGGAUCUUGACUCAGACUUUCUCCUUCAUUCUCUUCAUCCCUCCUUCCUGGAACUUACGGGUCAGGAUGUUUAAAAAUAUGAAUUUUAACGGGCUAAUCAUGAGUUUUUACAAGCGAAUAGGUAAAAUUUCAUUUAUUUUUUGUACUUUAUGAUUUAUAUCCAACUUUCAAAGUAUUCUUAAGAUAGUUUACAAGAAAAGAAAUGUGUACAAUAAGUUGGAUGAAUAAGAGAAAGAGAAAUUUAAACCAUAAAGGAGGAAGAGAAAAUAAUUAUGCCAAAAACCUGAGCUAACCAUUACUGUAAUUGAGCAUUAAAUUUGUUCAAGGCUUCUUGGCAGCUAAAGGCAAAAAAGAGGAAAUGUGAUGGGUGACAUAAUUCUCAGUGGCUAAAGUUUUUCUCUUAAGUAGUUUAGCAAGGUUAUGGUGGGGUAGAAGCCAUUUGGGGGUUAAGCUCCAUUGGGGCUGCAUGAUGUGGAGAAGAAGGUAUUCUUUACUGGGGAUGGUAGAGUCUAUCCCCAUGGCUUUAGCAACAUAUUGGAUGACUUUAGCUUUGUAUGGCUUAGUUCAAAUCUGACUAGAGCCAGGAAACUGAGAUUGGUGACUUUUUAAACAACCUUUUUAAAAAUUUCAGAUAAUAAAAAAAAAUAAAAUAAAAAAAAAUAAAAAUUUCAGAUAAUAAAAAAAUACAUAUCUAUUAUCAAAGAUUUGAAAAAUACAAAAGAAUAUAAAGGAACAAAAGUUCAUAAUCCCAUCACUUAGAAACAAUCAUUAUUAAAACUUUAGUGAAUUUCCUUCCAAACUUUUUUCUAUGUGUACUUAUAUUAACUGACUUCUUGCAGUUUUCUUCUAGUUAGAGGACUCUCUAAAUUAGGUGGUCUUUGGCCCACGUGGUUGUUACAUUUAACUAAUGAAAAUAGCUGCUGCUUGCCUAUUGAAUGUCUAAUGUGCUCCAGGCCCUGUAUUUCCAGUCUUUCUAAUAUCAACAGGUACAAGGCAAUUUUUCCGAUUUGCAGAGAGGUUAUGUAACUUGACUACAUCACACAAUAAAAGGAGAGCAAAAACACAGAUGCUGGUGUAUCUGCCUGUGCUGCUUCGUCUCCUUCUUUUACCGGGUGCUGCUUCCCUGAGACACAGGCCUAUUCCUGGCACCUGCUGCUCACCUGGGACUCCUGGGAGUGGGGGUGCCUGGGUCUGACAUCAUCUUGCCUGAUUCAUGGGCCCCAAAUGGCCAACACAAAAAGCAGAAGGAGCUCAUUCUUUCCCUAUUCUCUCCUCUUUCCUCCUGUUCCUUCCCCUACAUGCUGAAGUCAAGAGGCUAAAUUGCUUAGGUUCCCAGGUUAGGCCAGCCAGCUGUUGGGAUGCUUUUGGCUUUGAUAAAAUUUUAUAAUUCAAACUUCCUAUAGAAACAAAGUUAAGAGAAAGCUGAGAAUCUCAGUUCUGUUUUCAGUCCCGAGGAUACUGAAGAGCAUGGAGAAUUUUUGUCAUUGUUAUUACUAUGGUUUGUAAUUGAAGCUUUGUGCAGAUGUGACUUUAUUCUCUCCUGAGCCCCUCUAUCUGCUCAGAAACUUCUUUCAUGAGUGAAUCACAGAUUAAAGUGUCCUGCAGAAGCCCCCAUGUAGCCAGUAAGAGCCUGCUCCCUCAGCACAGACCAGGCCACGUGGUUGCCAGGGUAGGCUGGUUGCCACACCCAGAAAGGCAGCCUAUUGUGAGUGGCCUCCAGCCAACACAAGCAGUGUCUUGGGCUCUCAGGGUGCCUCCUACCUGAAAACUGGCCAAUCUUCUCCCCUCUCUGUCACCACUUCUGGGGACCUAUGAGCUAAGUCUCGAAAUACUAAGAGGCCUAAAUGUCAGGGCUCCUGGUUGGCCACACAGUGAGCUGAGUUGAGAACAGAACUCUGAAUGGUCUGGGUGCAGGCUGGGCUGCCAGUGGGUGUGAGUCAGCAACUACAAUGCCCUCUCUCCACUACACUUGCACUGCACUAAGCACAGAGGUUGGUGUUUCCCUACAAUCACUCCUCUGACCUUGGCACAGCAGGGCCUGCUUCCCGAAGGAGAUGUCUGGAGGGGAAAAAAGCUUUAAAAGAGGAUAUUGCACACCUGAGCUUUCAACACCACGUGGUGGUAGUUUCUGUCAGUUGAAGCAUAAUAUAUGACAAACCAGGAAGAAGCUAGUUUUCCUGAUGUGCAAAGUGACUUGCCCCUGAGAUUUUGGACCAAGUUAAUUAUAAUAACACCAGAACAACAAUAGCAAUACUAACCACAACUAACAUUUACCUAGCCCUGAACAUAUGCCAAGUGGUUCUAAGUCCUUUAUGUAUAUCAACUUGUGUAUUUCCCCCAGUUUACAGAUAAGAAAACUGAAACACCAGGAAUUUAAAUAACUUGCCUGGUGUCACACAGCUAGUAAGUGGCCGAACCUGAACCCCAGCAACUCUAGCUUCUUAACUCAGCUCAAGAGUUUGGCUUGGACAUUCAUGUGGGAGGAAUGGCAGACUGUAAAAAAAUCACAAAUUUUCCAAAUUUUCCAAUAGCUUCUUAAACCCAAGGGCAUCUCAGAUUGUGCCCCUGCACAUGGCUCUGUCAUGCUAAUUCCAUAUUCAGAGAUCACAGAAUUGUGUCUGGCUGUCUGGAAAAGGAAAGAAAUCCCCCAAACAUUGAACUGGCCUGAAGUAUUUAGCCUUUUUGGUUGGUGUGAAAGAGCAGCUCACCAUAAGGCUGUAGGAUGUCUGGACCACACUGGGGGGAGGCCCUGGCAACAGUGCCCAGAAGUGGAACAUCCCUAGCUGAAUACAGGCCCCAUCCAGGGAGAACUCUGAUGGCUGGAAUGUGCACAUAUAGACAGAUGGUGCUUAGCCAGGAGGGCAGUGAGAGUUUUCAGAUGGUCAUCAGGAAAAUGCUGAGGUGACUAUUGUGAUUUUCCAUCCCCAGAUCUUGGGACCUGGGGAUGUUGUUGUCUUUUACAUUGCAGCUAUCUACCAGACUCUGGGUUAGUUUUCUAUUGCUGGUGUAACAAAUUACCCCAAAUACAGUGGCUUAAAGCAAUACGAGUAUAUCGUUUUGUAGUUUGGGAGGUCAAAAGUCUGACACAGGUCUCACAUUGCUAAAAUCAAGGUGUUGAAAGGGUUGUCUUCCUUUCUAGAGACUCUAGGGGGGAAAAGUACAUUUUCUUAGUUUUUCAGCUUCUGGUCACUGCUCACAUUUCUUGGCUCAUGGCCCCCUUCCAUCUUCAAAGCCAGCAAUGGGUCACAUUGCAUCAGUCUGGCACUGACUCUUCUGUCUUCCUCUUCCAUGUCUAAAGACCCUGUGAUUACAUUGGGCCUACUUGUGCAAUCCAGAAUAAUAUUCCUAUUUUAAAGUCAACGGAUUAGCAACCUUAAAUCCAUGUAUUACCGUAAUGCUCUCUUUUCAUAAAAUAUAACAUAUUCACAGGUUCCAGAGAUUAGAACAUGAGCAUCUUUGGAAGGCCAUUAUUCUGUUGAUCACAGGCCCCAAAUGGAAAAGCUGAACAUCCCUAUCAUGGAUAUUUGUAGCCCAGUUGAGAGCCUGCCCAGCAGCUGGCAGUCUCUGCUGCAUGCUAGAGAAGAAUCACUGGGGACCUGCUCCAGAGAAAAGGUUGGGCAAUCCAUAUAUGGUGUUCAAAAAGCUGCAGAUGCACCUGCUUUCUUGAGAAGACCCAAACACUAAAAAUCUCAAGUUUCAAAACCUCUGCUCUGCAUCAGAACCUAGAUAAAGAACCCAUCCCAUGUGGUCAAAUCAAUGACACAGGCAACUAGGAAGCUUUCUUCAAGGGACAAUUGACAGAAGAAUGUGAGCACUCUCCCACAGUUAACUCAUCCCUAAAAUCUCAAGAGUAUGUCUCCAGAAUAUUUUAAAAUCAUGUGUUCUAGAUCUGUUAGGCACAUUUUAUGUAAAGCCAGCUUGAGCCUGUGGGCAUCCUUAGUCUAUCUCUCUACUAGGGAAGUUAAGUGUAGUCCUUGUAAUUUGCUUAUAUUUCUUGGUCUUGAAACACCUCCUUCAGGAGUAUUCCUAAUUCCAACACUCCAGUGUGUUACCCACUCAGAGUAUCCAUACACUAUCUAUAUCCACACACUUUUAGUCUGUCCAGCCUAAAAAGGUUGGAUUUUUUACAUUUUAAGCAUCUUGUUAUAUAUGUUUCAAACUUUUCAGUGCUUCUAAGCCACUCUGGGAUCAUGACAGGAGCUUUCUCUGUUGGUCCAUUAUGCUGAUUCUGUGUGUGUUCCUGGGUAGGUCAUGUGACCUCUCUCUCUCACUUUCCUCAUAUGCAACAUGAGGAUAAUAAUAGUACCUACCCUAUAGGGCUGGAGUCAGGAGUAAAUGAGUGAACCAUGCAAAGCCUUUAGAACAGUGCAUAGUACUUGGUAAAGCUGUAAUACAUCUUGGCUCUUAUAAUUGUUAAAAGGCCUAAUAAUACAUGAACCCUAUCUCUUAGAGUCACCAGAACCAGCCAUUUUGUAAUGUCUCCAGACAUUGAUAUUCAUUCCACCUUGAGGGUAGAAGACACAUUCCUAAUCAAAGUGCCUUUUUUUGCUUUGCUCUAUAGGCAUACUAUUCCCAUAAAGGCUAUUGCUAAUAGUUAAGGUAAGAUAUCAGGAUCCAUUGUCAAGGCAGUGGAGACGGGCAGAUAGAGGGCUGAGUACUUAUGCCAAGAGAAAGCUUUUCUUCUCAGCUUGGGGUAUAGGCACGAAUCUAGCAGACUGGGUUCUCUUGGGGCCCUUUGGUGCCGCAUUUUACCCUAAUCUAAACUCAAAAGGGAGCCUCUUAGGAGAGUGUCAUGUCUCCCUAACAGUCAGCCCAGUCCUAUUAAUUCAAAAGGCCACCUGGACAAUUAUUGUCAUGAAGAGCUCUUGGCUAAGACAAUUCUAUUGUUCCAGCAAACCUCCAUAUCCCAGCUCCACUUACAUCUCUAUACUUUGGGGCAUAGUGCUGAAUGUCACAAAACUACCCUUGGGUUCUAUAAAGAAGCAUGAGCCCUAAGGCUUCCACCCCACCCCAGGGCUGCUUUCUGACCUCUGACCUCUUGCCCAGUAUUCCGCUUUCCAUUCUCAUAGCAGUGGUUACCCAGACUGACUCCAAAUGGCCAGAUUCUGCUACUAAGCCCAGAGGAGUUUCAAGACUGGAGAACCUUAAUUCCAAAUAGCACACAGGCCACAUAAAUUCCUCAAAUAUGCACCCCAAAACAAGAGUCCCCAGGGAUUCAGUUUAUCUCACCAAGUUUCAGCUGAGGGAAAAAUAUUCUAAUGGCACAUAAGGAAAGCUGUCAGAGAACUGUUUUGCUCAACAUCAAAUGCAUUCCAGGCCUUAUCUAAUCAGGGAGUCUUCUUCACAGCUGAUGCAGAGGCUGUUCCUGGACCAGGAGAGAGGCCUUGAUUUUAAAUACAAAAUAAUGGUUCUUUUGGCACAGGCAAAAUUGGUCGGCAGCUGGAGGUUUGGAGUGACCCCUGACCCUCUCCCACAGUUCCUCCUGAGUCCCACUGCACUAAACUAAGCCAUGCUCAAAUCCCAGGCUCUAAUUGGUUCUGGUUUGUUUUGCUUUUCUAUUCUAUCCAGAGCUUCAAAAGGCGUUUCCAUAAUUGUUUGAGGCAUGAAAAAGGCAGGUUUCAGCUUUCCUAACUGGAAUUGGAGGUAAUUACUGUCUUGCACACACGAGCCAGUACAUGCUUCAAAUCAGAUGGCUCUGGGUUGUUUUAUAAAGUGUAGCUGGGCCUCUGAGCCAGGAGAGGGAGGAUUAUGGAACCUUCUAAAGGUUCUGUUCUAGAAAAAGAAAAAUUUGGACAUCUCAGAAACAGUGAGGGAAGCAUCCAUAUACUUCUGUGGUUACUUUAAACUCUGCCCAAGAGAUUUGGCCUGAAAAGAUUGUGUCCCCAACCUCAUCUUUCUAGAAUGAGGAGGCAUUUUUUUGGUCCUCUCUUUCAAGAGACAGGAGCUGACACCCCAUAUAACUCCCAUCUUGCUUGUAAUUAGCACCCGUGGUCUUGGCCUGGGCUGUUCACUUGUGAAAACUCAGAAUAGGGGAAACAGAGUCAAGCAUACUAAGAGCCACCUCAGAGAACCAGAUCAGGGAUGCACAUGUGGAUUCUGAGGACAGCAAACACAAACAUGGGCAGUCUCUGGCUUCUAUCCCACCCACACCACCCUGAGUGUGGACUGGGGAGCAAGACGCUAUUUCAAUCUCAGCUAAUUCACAUUACUAAUCCUCCAUGGCCUCACCUACAGAAUGAGAGUAGUGACUGGCCCAGCCUCAUAGGGUUGUUCUGACAUCUAAAUGAGGUCAACCUGUGUCAAAUGCUUGGUCUAGUAUGUGCACAUAGCGAGUACCCAAUAAUAGCUAUUAUUAUGAACAUAAUUGUCAGGGGCAUGGCUAUGAGGGCCAAAGGGACCACUUUGUAAUGGUGGAGGUUUUCAAGACUCUAGAGAUUCAGAAAUAGUGGAAGAAAAGCUGCUGCAGGAAUCAUAGAAGGAGUGGGAAGGGGAAGCAGUGUGACAGCCCCCACCUCAAAGUGUCUUCCCUCCCAAGGGCAUUUAUUGCCUUACACGUAUUAGGUGGCCUGAAAUUCCACAGAUUAGAGAUUUAGUUCCGCCUUUUUUCAACAAUAUAUCUCAACAAGAACUAGCUGGUUAAACAGCAUUCACACAUCAGUGUAAAGUGGUUUAUUUGCUUUCUUUCUAAUACCUACAUACUCAGCAGCUUGGGGGUUAAGGAACUUGGGACCGAGGAAGGAAGAGAUAAUAAUUUAAUGUCAUGAAGCUCUGCCUGGGACAAGGCCAGUCCAGAUUCUGAGAGCUCCAAUUCAAUUCACUCACUGGCCCACAGACUGCUUGCCUGGCUCAGAGGAAAAGAGGAGGUGGGGGUUGGAUGUGUGCUGGGGUCCCUGAAUAGCUUUUCUGAUUUUUGUACUCUCAUAGGGACACUCCUAAAAUAGCCUCUUCCAACAGUUUCCAGGACUGUCUCCUCUCUGGGAGUUCCUUCUCCUCUGCCAGAGAGAGGUCAUGGGGCUCAGACCUUGCUUCUCCAUUCUCACAUCACCCCUAAAUUAUCUCAGGAGGACUUGAGUCUGCCUCUGUGUUGUUCACUCCCCAAACAACUUCCCUCUUGAUUUGGAUAUUUAGGUGCCUACUUGACCUC